UGCGUAGGUGGCGUGGUAAGUCAGAUGUGAAAGCCCAGGGCUCAACCCUGGAAUUGCAUCCGAUACUGCUGUGCUAGAGUACUGGAGGGGUGACUAGAAUUCUCGGUGUAGCAGUGAAAUGCGUAGAUAUCGAGAGGAAUACCAAAGGCGUAGGCAGGUCACUGGACAGUUACUGACACUGAGGCACGGAAGGCCAGGGGAGCGAACG
rnacentral:rRNA from 1 species